CCCACUUAAAUUCCUGACGUCCUCGUCAGGCCGAAACGGAUAGCCCAUAGGCCCAGAUCGAACCUCUCUAGCCAUUGUGGGAUAAUACCGGCUGGCUUCGUGUCCCCGCCUCCGGAUCUCUGUCCAUUGCGGGAUAAUACCACCAGCCUUCGUGUCCCCACCUCCGGCAACUUGACGAAUCAAGCUUUCGAGAGCCUGCUCUGAAUACCAUAUGUGACAACCCGGGUCAAAUCCCGAGUCUUUUUCGAAAAUCGGGUCAAGUCCCGAAAUCCGAAUCCGAAAAUAAGCCCAAAUAUACUGGCCCAAUUGCAACAACUUGGGUAAUCCACAAGCCCACCACAGGCCCCCAAAAGAUCAUGAUUUGU
rnacentral:lncRNA from 1 species